UCGGGUGUCGGCUAACGGUAAGCCAGCUGCCUUUGAAGCAGUGGUAUGUAGGUUCGAUUCCUUCCGCCCGUGC
rnacentral:tRNA from 2 species